rnacentral:rRNA from 1 species
CCCUUAGAUGUUCUGGGCCGCACGCGCGCUACAAUGAUGCAGGCAACGAGUGCUGCUCCUUGGCCGAAAGGCUUGGGGAACCUUGAAAACUGCAUCGUGCUAGGGAUAGAUGAUUGCAAUCGUGCAUCUUGAACGAGGAAUGCCUUGUAAGCGUGAGUCAUCAACUCGCGCUGAAUACGUCCCUGCCCUUUGUACACACCGCCCGUCGCUCCUACCGAUUGAAUGCUCAGGUGAGCCAUUCGGACUUUCAUCAUGCUGGUUUCCAGUUUUGAUGAAGGAAAGUCUUGCGAACCUUAUCAUUUAGAGGAAGGAGAAGUCGUAACA